CCUACGGGUGGCAGCAGUGAGGAAUAUUGGUCAAUGGGCGCGAGCCUGAACCAGCCAAGUAGCGUGAAGGAUGACUGCCCUACGGGUUGUAAACUUCUUUUAUAAAGGAAUAAAGUGAGGCACGUGUGCCUUUUUGUAUGUACUUUAUGAAUAAGGAUUGGCUAACUCCGUGCCAGCAGCCGCGGUAAUACGGAGGAUCCGAGCGUUUUCCGGGUUUUUUGGGUUUAAAGGGUGCGUAGAGGGGUUGUUAAGUUCGUUGGGAAAGUUUGGGCUCAACCGUAAAAUUGCAAUUGAUACUGGCAGUCUUGAGUACAGUUGAGGUAGGCGGAAUUCGUGGUGUAGCGGUGAAAUGCUUAGAUAUCACGAAGAACUCCGAUGGCGAAGGCAGCUUACUAAACUGCCACUGACAUUGAUGCUCGAAAGUGUGGGUAUCAAACAGGAUUAGAUACCCGAGUAGUC
rnacentral:rRNA from 1 species